rnacentral:misc_RNA from 1 species
CGUUGCUCAACCACCUUCAUCUCUCUAUGUAUGUGUCGAGCCACACGCAUGCACGCACGCACGCGCACACACUAAGAUUUCAUAUAACUCACGGACCCCACCGAUAGAGCGUCUGCGCAAGCGGCGCUGGAGGACGGCGAUGGACAACGGGGAUCUCCUCCGCUAUGCAUUGCAGAGGCGCCAGUACCUCGUCGCCAUAUGGCUCACUCUUCAGCAGCGCUGGUUCGUCACGUCUUUCAACGCCUCGACGCGGGUCGUGGGCUGGGCCGUCGUUGCCUUGGGGGUGGCCCUCGUCACCUUCACUGUGGUGACGUUCGCGCGCAACGUGGUACCGGUGCUCACCACGCCAGGCUCCCUCCCGUACGUCCUUCUGCAGUGUCUCCUUGUGUUUGUCUCCUUCAACAUCUAUGUCAACUACUUCUGCUCUACAACAUUUUCGAGGCACAUCGGCCAAGCACCGCCGGAGUACACGUAUCGGGGCCCGUACACCACCAACGCGGCCGGUGCUCCCUACGACAACUCCGACUCCUCGGAAGACAGCGGCGAUGACGGCGUGAAAGAAGGCGAUGGUAGCCCACGGGUGCAUGGCCGCACGCAGGAGAUAAGCUCGAUGGCUGCUGGUGUCCCGUUAGCGCAGCACGCGUUUUCCUCUCCACGCAGGGGCGCGGAGGCACCUCGAGGCCCCUUCGACACUACUCUCAACGACCCCGCGUCGCCUCGAGUGCCUAUGCCGGCGGCUACGGGAAUGGUGGCACCGUCGCAACCGCCGCUCCCGACGACGAACUUUCUCGGCAUUCGCGUUGUGCGUGUCUUUAGGGGCGAUGAGAGCGCGGACGGAGACGCUGCUGCGACGGUGCCGCUACACCAGCAAAAAGCCGGCGUUGCCUGUCGGAGAGGUAGCAUGCGCUCGCUACUCGCUUGUUUCACCCGUCUUACCCGGAGUGCUAGUGCUGUGUUCCAUGCACGAGGGUGCCACCGGUGCCACCUGCCGAAUCGGCCAAAGACAGUGGCAUCGCUGGACACACUUCUCGAGCUCGAGGCGAUUGCUGAAACCGCUGAGCGCUGCCCACCGCGGCUGCGAGUCGCUCGCUUGCUGGACGUGCCGCGGCGCUACUGCCACCACUGCCGCCGCCUGAAGGCGCCGCGCGAGCACCACUGCGCCAUAUGCAACGAGUGUGUCACGAAGAUGGACCAUCAUUGCCCGUGGAUCAACAACUGCGUCGACGCGGAGAACCAGCGCUACUUCCUGCUGUUUGUGUGGUGGCUGUGGGUGGGCACCCUGCUGGCCACCGGCUUCCUGGGCUACGGCUACAUACGCGAAAGCAGCAACGCUCGAAGGUUUAGGCGACUGCACGCGCAGUGGAGGACGUCUCCAAACAAGGCCGCCGUGGAGGCGAAACUGCGUGCACUGCGCAUGCCCUACGGCCCCGCCGGUGUGCUGCUCACGUCGUAUCUGACAACGCUGACAUUCGGCGUGACGGUCAUCGUCUGUCUCUGCAUGUCACUCUUCCUGUACGUCAACAAGCGCCUGGUGCUGGAGAACACAACGGCGAUCGAGAGCAUCUACGUGCAUGAGAAGCGCACGCACGUAUACGCGUCCACCAACUUUACGUACCGCAACCCAUACGACUUGGGGAAGUGGCUGAACUUCGUCGAUCUUUUCUCCACCGCGCGUGACCCGCUUGUGAAGAUGAUGCUGAAGGCUGAGGCGGAGGCGGACAGGAGAGCCACAGCGGCCCGCCCUGGCGGCUGUGCAGACGACCGUGGAUGGCGCUGGGCGGCUGUCGCCAGGCGUUUGGCGCAACGCGUGGCAAUCGUUGUGUGGCUCACCGGCUUUCCAACGUUCCGACCAAUCUACGGGGAUGGGGUGCACUACCCCACCUUUGACUUGCUUGCGUCCGGUGAGCUGCACCCGCUACUGUCGGAGUAGGCCAAGCAGGGUCUUAGUAGCGUGGAUGCACGGCGGGGCGUAAAAAAGGCGGAGAGCGCCGCAGUGGUGUCCGUCUAUUUGCCUCCCCCCCUUCCCUUUCUCCGUCGCUAAUCCGCCACCGCAGCCCCCCCUCCCCCCCCAAUGCGCCUCUGGUGGUGGCGAGGGCGAUGAAAGGGGCAUGGUGCCAGUGAUUCCAUCUACCUUGCUGUCGCAGAGUCGAAACUACGCAUCAAACCCAUGUGGAUGUGGAGGCAGGAAGCCACAGGAAAGAAGUGCGUGCUGUCCCCCUAAAAGGUCGCGAUCGCGUGUGCGGAGGAGCGCUUUGGCCGCGGGGGAGGGGUUUUCGCUGAGCGGCCGCCGCAACUUCAUAUUAUGUAGCGUCUUCAUGAAGACCCCUCCCCCCUUCAUGUGGUUGCGCGCCCGCUGCGUUGCUGGAACGCGCUCCGAUGCGCACACGGGCACCAGUCCUUCUCUCUCGCUGUUCCCCUGCUUGGGGUCCCUCCUGAUGACAAGUGGGGGGAGCGCACUGCUCAGUGCGUGGCAUCAGAGGGUCCGGCCCCACCGCACCCCCCCCCCUCCCCUCCACUCCCGACUCUCUGCGUGUGUGAGGGAGGAAGCCCAGCAGCCCCCACCUCACCCUCCCCAAUGCCGAGCCACUCCUGGUGGUGGUGGCAGGGCCCGGUGCCCGCGACGCAGCGAGGUCAGAGCAAUUCAGCGCUACUGAUGUUGUCGGUCAAGGCCCUGCGUGGCGCUGCGUCGACGCCACCUGCGCAGCGGGCAGAGUGCGAGGCAGGGGCCGUGCUCUCAGGGGACUGCAUCGGCGCCUUGCUGGACCGGCGUGUGUCGACGGCUGCCAUGGUCCCACGCGAGGUGGGGCCUGUGUGACAGGGCCGUGGGUGGCAGCGUGGGGCGUUGGACCCCGCGUUGUGUGGCAGAGAAGCGGACUCGUGAUUGCGAAACAAAAACGCAACUCUCUUUCACCCUCGCAGCUACGGCGUCUGUCUGCCCUUGUGUGUGCCCCAUCAUGCUCGUGCGCCUACGAAGUUUCCUUCUGUCUUGCUGGGUCUCUCUCUUGCUGCCUCCGAAACUGCUCAACGCCCCCUCCCCCGAUACACGCACACAGAGAGAGAGCGAGCGAGGCUGUAGACAUUCUCAAAAGCCGUCGUUCGCAGCUGUUGGUUGUGGCGUGUGGGAUAGUGCGGCUGCGCCGACGGUCCACUGCUCGUCCUCUCUCUCCCGCCCUUGUGGCCUGCCGGUGUCAACUGCGCUUGGUGACUUGUUCGUUCGCCUUGCGUUGUCCCCACCUCGUACUCGGCAUACUCGGGUUCACUUUGGCUCUGCCGAGUGCACCUCUUCGUUUCAUUGCCGAGCCAUCCUUUCGCCUGCCCAUCUCGCCCUCCCCUACUUCUCUGGUGCGUGCCGUUGCUCUUGCUCUACAUCGUUGGCUCCGCCACCGUCUUUGUCGGGUGUUUACGCGUGUGCCUGCACGCUCGCUCUCUCACGCCGGCGAAG